GAUGAACGCUGGCGGCGUGCCUAAUACAUGCAAGUCGAGCGAACGGACGAGAAGCUUGCUUUUCUGAUGUUAGCGGCGGACGGGUGAGUAACACGUGGAUAACCUACCUAUAAGACUGGGAUAACUUCGGGAAACCGGAGCUAAUACCGGAUAAUAUUUUGAACCUCAUGGUUCAAAAGUGAAAGACGGUCUUGCUGUCACUUAUAGAUGGAUCCGCGCUGCAUUAGCUAGUUGGUAAGGUAACGGCUUACCAAGGCAACGAUGCAUAGCCGACCUGAGAGGGUGAUCGGCCACACUGGAACUGAGACACGGUCCAGACUCCUACGGGAGGCAGCAGUAGGGAAUCUUCCGCAAUGGGCGAAAGCCUGACGGAGCAACGCCGCGUGAGUGAUGAAGGUCUUCGGAUCGUAAAACUCUGUUAUUAGGGAAGAACAUAUGUGUAAGUAACUGUGCACAUCUUGACGGUACCUAAUCAGAAAGCCACGGCUAACUACGUG
rnacentral:rRNA from 1 species